rnacentral:tRNA from 1 species
UUGAUGUUGUAUGGUAUUGAGAUAACAAGACUCAAAAUCCUUUGGUCCGGGGUUCAAGUCCCUGACGGCCCACCA